CUUUAUUCCGUAUUUUUAAUUCCAAAAUACAAAAGCUUAUACUUUUCUUACUCUCACUUCUCACUUUCUCUCACUAGUUACUGCUGCAACGCCACUGUCCUCCACUUCUUCGUAACUUCUUCGCCGCUUAUUUGUCACUUCGUUAACUUCAGCUACCUCAUCAGAUUGAAUAUGGAUCAUAUUUUGAGGUACUUUCCACUCCUCUCGCGUCUUUGAAUUUCCUCAGCUCAAUCUUCACAGAUUCAAUCUCGGAAUGAAAAGUUCUGGAGAAAUUACAGGUAGAAAGCAUCAUCAAUCUUUAUGAUGCCUCAAACAUUUGGCGUGUUCUUUUGAUUUUAAGAGAUCAAAAUGCCCAUGAAGCGAUUCUGGAAGUCCUUAAAGGGUUAGCCGGAUGAACUCCUAGUUGUUCGGAAGCCUGUCUUUGGAGAAUGGACAUCCCGAACGAAACUUCAUGACAGGCUACCUGAGCCUAUCUUUUGUUGUGUUUCGUUGAUAAACGGAUACUGAUAGUCUACUCUCACUUGUAAUAUCGAGUAAUAUUGCGUAGGGGUCACUACACAGUGGUCUAUCUUCAUCUCUAGUUGAUAUUCGGAUACAUGUUGCUAAUGGCGGAUCUAGAGUAUAACUUAAGGUGUCGCAGGAACCUAGUACAUUUUGCCCAAACCUUGUAUAAAAUCAACUAAAUAUCUAUAAAUAUAUAACUGCAAUCCAAUUAUUAACGCAUAUCAACCUUGUCCUCAUGUAGCAUUUAGUAAUCUUUGAUCUUUUUCCAAUGUCUAGGAAAACAUACCUUGAGUACAUACAUCAUGUCAUAAAACUAGAAGACACUCUUGUUGGUUUACUAUCAGAAACUCUCGGGCUUAAGCCAAACCACUUGAAAGCUACCCAAUGUGACCAGGGACAAACAUUGCUAUGCCAUUACUACCCAUCCUGCCCACAACCAGAGGAUUUUGGGUGUACCGUGUACGGACCACACAAAACCUCGGUGUUGAAGGUUAAUGUCUAAAUCAUAUGAUCUUGU